rfam:Erinaceus europaeus unplaced genomic scaffold scaffold00322, whole genome shotgun sequence
GGAUGUGAGGGUGAUCUGGUUGUGACAUCUGUCACCCCACUGACUGAUCGACUGGGUCAAUAUGACUGAUUUGGCUAGAUAGGCAGGUGUCCUCUUCUUCCCUCACCAUUUCAGGUACAUCUAUCCCAAAGGUAUAUGCUUGGCUGAAGAGGACCACAUUUCUCAAGCAGAAACGGACUGAUCUUUGGCUGAGGGUAUAAGUAUUUUGGCUGUGCUGCCCUGCUAGAACCUCCCAGCAAGCUCUCAGUCACUAUGAUGUUAACACCAUCAGUAGAAAGUAGAUAUACUUUAGGGGAUUAACUGU